UUCUUCACAUGGCAGCAGACAAGAGAGAGUGGGGAAGGAUCUUCAAGGUAAUUUGCCAACCAUAUUAGACAGAGGAGCAGGGGAACAGCACAGCAAUACAUCAUGAUCUAUCCACAAUGAUUGAAUUGAGGGAAAAUUCAUUUCUGUUGACUCAAGUACAGGCUGCUGAAAAGAUUCUCAAGUUGAGAGCUUCAAACAAUUAAGGGAUGAGGGUCCACUGUCACCAGCUUUUGAACUGUAAACUCCAUGAAGGUGAAGAGCUUUGCCUGAUUGUUCACCACAGUAUCCUCAGUGCUCAGAAGACUGCCUCACACUUAGUAGAUGCUUGACAAGCCUUUAUUAUACAGCUUAAUUUCAUGAACUCCUUAACCACUCUUACUCAGCAGAAACAGAGCCUCCCCAGUAGAGCUCUUCUAAAAGACGUAGAAGUGGUGAAUGAAUUACAAUCCCAAACA
ensembl:lncRNA novel transcript, antisense to KDR